rnacentral:rRNA from 1 species
UACGAGGGGGGCAAGCGUUGUUCGGAAUUACUGGGCGUAAAGGGCGCGUAGGCGGCUUGGCAAGUUGGAUGUGAAAGCCCAGGGCUCAACCCUGGAAUUGCAUUCAAGACUGCCUUGCUUGAAUUCGGUAGAGGUUGGUGGAAUUCCCAGUGUAGAGGUGAAAUUCGUAGAUAUUGGGAAGAACACCGGUGGCGAAGGCGGCCAUCUGGCCCGUAAUUGACGCUGAGGCGCGAAAGCGUGGGGAGCAAACAGG